ACCCUUGCAGGGUUGCACUUGGAGAGUUUCCAGUACUCUACCAGUCUCAACUAAAGGAGGGAGAGUCAAGGAGAGGCAUAUCCAUUCCAUUCCUAGCUCGGCCAGUGGCUAGUGACUGGAAGACAACUUGCUACAAGU